GACGAACGCUGGCGGCGUGCUUAACACAUGCAAGUCGAACGGUGACGAGGAGCUUGCUCCUCUGAUCAGUGGCGAACGGGUGAGUAACACGUGAGCAACCUGCCCCAGACUCUGGGAUAACAGUUGGAAACAGCUGCUAAUACCGGAUACGAGACGGAGAGGCAUCUCUACCGUCUGGAAAGUUUUUCGGUCUGGGAUGGACUCGCGGCCUAUCAGCUAGUUGGUGAGGUAAUGGCUCACCAAGGCGACGACGGGUAGCCGGCCUGAGAGGGCGACCGGCCACACUGGGACUGAGACACGGCCCAGACUCCUACGGGAGGCAGCAGUGGGGAAUAUUGCACAAUGGGCGAAAGCCUGAUGCAGCGACGCCGCGUGAGGGAUGACGGCCUGGUUGUAACGUCUUCUAGCAGGAGAAGAGAAAGUAGACGGUACUGCAGAAGAAGACACCGGCUAACAACGUGCCAGCACGCGGUAACAUAA
rnacentral:rRNA from 1 species